UCCUCCUGAAGGACAAGGGGAAACAGGUGGAAGGUUAAUGGCCGUAGAGCGUAUCCACAAGCCUCUCUGGCUUGAUAUAUGGGCCACGGGCCUAAAACAGGCAUUGGCUUUCAAAGAUAUAUUAUUUCAUUUGAGGAGAGACAUUCUGGAGAUCCUGCAUUUGUCUGCUGAUAGAUGAUACUCUGUCCACAAUUGGUUAUGGCGUCGUGAUGGAACAAAUGAUCCUGAUCCAGAAAUCAGUUAAUAGGAAGUAUCAUUCCUUUUCCUUUUUUUUUUUUUUCCUCCUUUAAAAGCUUAUUAAAACUUGCAUGUUUGGAAACAAA